AUUGAACGCUGGCGGCAUGCUUUACACAUGCAAGUCGAACGGCAGCACGGACUUCGGUCUGGUGGCGAGUGGCGAACGGGUGAGUAAUACAUCGGAACGUACCCAGUAAUGGGGGAUAACUAUCCGAAAGGGUAGCUAAUACCGCAUACGCCCUACGGGGGAAAGAGGGGGAUCGCAAGACCUCUUGUUAUUGGAGCGGCCGAUGGCUGAUUAGCUAGUUGGUAGGGUAAAGGCCUACCAAGGCAACGAUCAGUAGCGGGUCUUAGAGGACGAUCCGCCACACUGGAACUGAGACACGGUCCAGACUCCUACGGGAGGCAGCAGUGGGGAAUCUUGGACAAUGGGCGCAAGCCUGAUCCAGCAAUGCCACGUGCGUGAAGAAGGCCUUCGGGUUGUAAAGCGCUUUUGUCAGGGAGCAAAUCCUUGUGGCUAAUACCCACCGGGGAUGAGAGUACCUGAAGAAUAAGGACCGGCUAACUACGUGCCAGCCGCCGCGGUAACAC
rnacentral:rRNA from 1 species